GCGUCCUGUUUGCAGCACGCGCUAGUGGCCGCUGCCCCGCGCCCCCUUCAUCGCUGACCAUUCCACAAGGAGUCCUGGUCGGUUCUUGGUCCGAGAUUUCGUCUGUCUCUGACCCCUGCACCUGCGUCCUUCCUGUUUCUGGGCUUCAGCAUCUUCUGGUCCGUGCCAUGGGUCUUUAUGCAAUAAAAGUCCUGUACAAAUAGCCACAUACUUUAAGGGGAAAGACCCAGGCCCUGGUGAAAGUGGGGUUCGUGGAGGCUGGAGGACUGGGCCAUGGUGAAUGUUCCAGGACAGGACUGGGAAGCUGUCACCUGCCAAUGGGGCUUUUGUUGUUUAUUUAUUUUUAAUUUUUUGUGCUGGGGAUUGAACCCAGGGCACUUAAUCCCUGCGCCACGCCCCCAUCCCUUUUUUGCAUUUUUUAUUUUAGAGACAGGACCUUGCUAAGUUGCUGAGGCUGGCUUUAGACUCACAAUCCUCCUGCCUCAGCCUCCUUAGCAACUGGGAUUACAGGUACUACUACACCGGGCCCAAUAGGGCUUUAACCACAAGGGUCUUGUGCCAUUAUUAUUCUGGGGUUGCAUAUACCUUAGAUACCCCUAAUUCAGUCUGGGGUCUGAGGUGAGUCAUGAUGCCAGUGAUUACUUGUUUACUGGAAGCUAUUAAUGCAGGGAACUGGGCCAAAAAAAACCAUAGCUGCCUAAGACUCACAGGAUUCAGUGAAUCUCAAGCAACUUCUUGAUGUUUCAGGACUGCCCUAGGCAGAAUGGCAGUGGACGAGGAAUCUGGUUCGUAUUCUCCUUUUUGGAAGGCUUAGGGAACUCUCUCUUCUUUUAGUUCUUAUGGCUUAGCCCCACCAUGUGGCCCCUUGACUAGCUGCCCAUCCAGAGGCCAGUCACUCACCAGCAGUUGCCCUUUGUUCCUUUCGGCAUCUUCCCGGCCUCACUGCCCUUCAGAGGGGAAAGGCAGCUUGUGGCAGCUCUGUGUUAGAUGAAGAGUGGCGUGCUCCUGCUGUUUGUAGGUCUCUGUGGCUGGUCAAGAGCUAACCCUUAGGUUGUCUGGCCAUCUGUGACCCCCCCACACACUCUUUCGCCAAGGUCAGGUAAAGGCCUCCCCACAGCAGUCCUUGCAUGAGCCCUCACUCACUUGGGCUGGGGCCCCCAGUUGUUUCUCACAGUGAGGAAACCUGCCGAUAAGCUGGUUCGGGCCUCUCCUCCCCGUGAUCCAAGGCACUUUUACAGGGUUCUACAUGAGGAGGUGGAAAGGUCAUUGGGCUCAAAUUCCUGCUGCAUCCUUGGAGCCCUGUGACCUGGACAAGUGACUUCACCCUGUCUGAACCUAGUGAGAAUAGUCUCCCACUGCUAUUGCCCGAGUGUGUGUGUGUGUGUGUGUGUGUGUGUGUGUGUGUGUAUGGGACCAGAUGUGUGUGGGCCUGGUGGGGUCUGGUGCAGGUGGUGCUCAGGGGUAGGCAAGUGAGGUCUGUGCUGGCCAUCAGGGUCACUGUGAACAGCUGAACUGGACACCCAGCCCUGGGGUGAGCUCCAGCCAGCUCCCCCAGCACCCAUAAGGUAUUUGGUAAAAUAUGGCAUUUAUUGUGGGGGGUUUGUUAAUUUUGAGCCACAUCUAAUUUGUAAAAAAGCCACUCAGACAAAACGCUUUUAUCUUUCAGGCCAAGAGAACCUUGAAGGGAAGUUCCUAGGAAGGACCCUACACUCUGACCUCCGUCCACCACCACUGGAUGGCACACAGCGAACACUCUUGGGGCUAGAAGGGGUGGGAGCAACGAAGUUCUUGGGUGUUGGAGCGUGUUUCUUCUCAACAGGUUGAACCUUGGGUGGGCAGGGACUUAUUAUAUGUAAAGAUCUGGGUUAGGUUAAGAUGUAGUCAAGCCAGCAACAAAAACUAUUAAAUCCUGCAGCUUCAGCUUUAUUGUACAGAGUGAGUGGCCUGUGGGCCUGGCCUCCCCCAAGAAGCUGGCAGGUCUGGGCCAUGGAACACUGCCACCAGGUCCCCACUUAAGAACCUUCUCCCCAGAUGCAUUUAACCUGAGUAGUGAGGAAGCCCCUGAACCUGAUAGCCAGUGCCCAGGACACACCAGAGAUAAUAGUCCAGUGGCACAAGGGGACCCACUCUGCAGAUGAUGGGACUUAGGAAGGAGGCUGCUCUGACUGCAGCUGCUGAGUACCUGAGCCCAAGGUGCUCUUGAGUACAAGCCUUUUCCAACCCUUCAUGAGUUCCCCAUCCCAUCUCAUGGGGACCUUUCUAAAAGGUCCUGAGGCCACAGGGAAGCUACAGGCCUGAGCACCACCUGCUGGGCACUGUG
rnacentral:lncRNA from 1 species